rnacentral:rRNA from 1 species
AACGAACGCUGGCGGCGCGCUUAACACAUGCAAGUCGAACGAGAAGGCGUAGCAAUACGCUUGUACAGUGGCGAACGGGUGAGGAAUACAUGGGUAACCUACCCUCGAGUGGGGGAUAACCCGCCGAAAGGCGGGCUAAUACCGCGUACGCUUCCGAUCUUGCGGGAUUGGAAGGAAAGCUGUCCCUUGGGGAUGGCGCUCAAGGAUGGGCUCAUGUCCUAUCAGCUUGUUGGAGGGUAACGGCCUACCAAGGCAUCGACGGGUAGCUGGUCUGAGAGGACGAUCAGCCACACUGGCACUGCGACACGGGCCAGACUCCUACGGGAGGCAGCAGUGAGGAAUAUUGCGCAAUGGGCGAAAGCCUGACGCAGCGACGCCGCGUGGGGGAUGAAGGUCUUCGGAUUGUAAACCCCUUUCGGGAGGGAAGACGGCCUUAGACAACUAAGGCGGACGGUACCUCCAG